rnacentral:lncRNA from 1 species
GUUCAUUUUAAACUCCCCUGUAUUAUUUUUGUAAAUUUUUGACAAAGAGAUUCAUUAGUAGUAUCAAAUAUAAUAUCAUCUACAUAUAUUUGCAUAACCAACAUCAUUAUUUCUUUUUUUUAAAAAUAAUGUUGUGCCUAUACUACCUUUAGUAAAACCAUUUUCAAGUAGAAAUUUAUUCAAUCUUUCAUACAAUACACAG